rnacentral:rRNA from 1 species
UACGGGGGGAGCAAGCGUUGUUCGGAUUUACUGGGCGUAAAGGGCGCGUAGGCGGCGUGACAAGUCACUUGUGAAACCUCCGGGCUUAACCCGGAGCGGUCAAGUGAUACUGUCGUGCUAGAGUGCGGAAGGGGCAACUGGAAUUCUCGGUGUAGCGGUGAAAUGCGUAGAUAUCAGGAAGAACACCCGUGGCGAAGGCGGCUCUCUGGGACGGUACUGACGCUGAGACGCGAAAGCGUGGGGAGCGAACAGG